rnacentral:rRNA from 1 species
CCUACGGGAGGCAGCAGUGAGGAAUAUUGGUCAAUGGACGAGAGUCUGAACCAGCCAAGUAGCGUGAAGGAUGACUGCCCUAUGGGUUGUAAACUUCUUUUAUAUGGGAAUAAAAUGUUCCACGUGUGGGAUUUUGUAUGUACCAUAUGAAUAAGGAUCGGCUAACUCCGUGCCAGCAGCCGCGGUAAUACGGAGGAUCCGAGCGUUAUCCGGAUUUAUUGGGUUUAAAGGGAGCGUAGGUGGAUUGUUAAGUCAGUUGUGAAAGUUUGCGGCUCAACCGUAAAAUUGCAGUUGAAACUGGCAGUCUUGAGUACAGUAGAGGUGGGCGGAAUUCGUGGUGUAGCGGUGAAAUGCUUAGAUAUCACGAAGAACUCCGAUUGCGAAGGCAGUUCACUGGACUGCAACUGACACUGAGGCUCGAAAGUGUGGGUAUCAAACAGGAUUAUAUACCCCAGUAGUC